AGGUGAGACAAGACGGACUCAGAGGUUAAGAAACAAGAUAUUGUAGCUACUGUUUUGCUGAGCUGGAAAGUGAACUCAAGUUUUUCUGACUCUACGAAACAUUUAUUGAGCUCCUUCUGGAUUUAGUUACUGCUGGAAGCAUUGGUAUAUGCAAAGAAGAAACAUUUAUGUGAAGGAAAUCUGUUUUCAGAAUUGUCAUUAUAACAAGUCAUUUCACCAUCUAUAAAUUGGAGAUAAGAGUUGCUCUGCAUACUCAACAGUGUUGUAAAUGGGAUCAAAUGAGGGUGGCUGCAAUUCUUGAAAAUCAGGAGUUUUUCUAUAGAUCACCUGGUGUCCCCUGCUGCUCGUUAGUAAGGAGUCGUUGACACCAACCCACUUGGACUUCAUUCCGAAUAAGUAUCCUCUCUCCUCUGCCUAACCCAGUAGUUCUCAGCCCAGGACCACACAUUAGAUCCACCUGUGGAGCUUUCGCGAUUCGCACGUCUCUCCCUUCUUCAUCCACUCAGACCAACUAAAUUAGAAUCUUGGACAGUGAGACCUGGGCAUGGUGACAUUUUAUCAAAAUCUCCAGAUAUGACACAAGCAUCCAUCCAGUGCAGAGACGCACUGGGCUAAUUUAUAUCCACAUUUAAGUUAUCACGGCAACCACUUCUCUUCACACCAUUCCCUUUCCUAUAAACACAUGUCUUUUCUAUAGCAAACUCUAGCUUGGAUUUUAUUGAGAAGAAUCAGAACAACACUGUGGGUGAACGAUAUACAGUUUACUACAUAGGCACAAGUAAUUCUAGUUGUGAUAAGAAUUGUGAGGAUGCCUUCUUGUUGAAUCAGCAGUCUCUCCUGCAAGGGACAGUUCAGUGUGUUAUAUGCAUAUAAUCAAUUUCAUAUCUAUGUUAGCACCAGCAAAUAAGUAAAUCUCUCAGCCUCAUGUAGAUGGGUCUAGAGUUUCAGCCAGGGGGCUGAGAAUGGUAUUGGUAUUCGGAAGCUGCCUAUGAGCCUGGAGAAACUGUCCUUUGCAGAACUAGGGCCUGACCUCUGGCAGCCGGGCCACAGUCCCGUCUGUCCCCUUUAUUCCCUUGCUGAUAUUUUGCUAUAGAAAUCACCAACCACACUGACUGGCCUGACCCAUGGUUCCCACUAUAGCUUUUUUCGAUCUCCCUCUCUUCAGGCUGGCUCUGAGGCAGGGCUUUGUGGUUUCCCUUUGGUCUCUUAGUGCUGGUUGAAAAUGUUUAUCUUUCCCCCAGGCUCUGAGGAACCAAGAGAAGAGUAGUUCCAAGCCAAACAAGGAAGCCAGCUCCCCUAGCAACAAGUCUUCUUUUUCUAUGUUUUUUUCUAGUUCCUUCUUUGGAAAGUUUCCUUAUUCUCUAGAACAGUGGGCAAGAGAAAAAAAGUGUAUAUUUGAUAUGCAAAGACUAUGCUUAGUAUUCGGAUUGUACUAUCCCAGCAGAGAAGUUCUUCUUAGCACUAUUAAAUCCAUGAACUCUUUUCUAUUUCAAAACUUAUGGCCCUGCUCCCACUCCAGCUGGGGGAAAUGGAAACGCAGUGUAAAGAGAAUGAAAUAGUGGUCAAAGACCUACAGGCAAUCAGGAGACUUUAGCAAGUCACAUCCUCUGAGCUUUAAUGUCCUUAUCUGUAAAGUUCAUAAUAAUACCUGCCCUGCCAGUUUCACAGGGUUAUUGCAGAUGAGAUGAUAUAUGAGAAUAUAUGAUUUGAAAAAUGAAAGGAUAAACACUUUAUGUUUAAUUUAUAAACAAUAUAAUGCACAAAGUUCAAUAUAUUUUUGACAACUAUAUUCAUCUGUGUAACCAAUCUCCAAAGCGAGAUACAAAGCUCACCAUCUCUGUAGAAAGGUCUCUCUUGUUCUUUAUGAUGAAUCCACACUGCACCUCCCACCACCACCCAGGAUACCACUAUGCUUAUUUUUUUAACCAUAAAUUCAUUUUUUUUGACCUUGAGUUUCAGGUAAAUGGGAUUAUAAAAUGUGUGCUUUUUGUAGUUGGCUUUUUUCGCUAACAUAAUAUUAGUGAGAUACAUGUAUGUUUGUGUAUCAUUCCUUUUUAUUGCUAAGUAUUUUAUUGUGUGAAUAUACCACAUUUUGCUUAUUCUUACUCCUGUUAAUGGAUAUCUAAAUUAUGUCCAGUUUUAGCUAUUAUGAAUAAAACUAC